rnacentral:rRNA from 1 species
UUAAAAAGCUCGUAGUUGGAUUUCGGUUGAGAGCGGCCGGUCCGCCGUUUGGUGUGCACUGGCUGGUUUCAGCUUCCUGCAGAGGACGCGCUCUGGGCUUAAUCGUCUGGACGUGGAGUCUGCGUGGUUACUUUGAAAAAAUUAGAGUGUUCAAAGCGGGCUUACGCUUGAAUAUUUCAGCAUGGAAUAACACUAUAGGACUCCUGUCCUAUUUCGUUGGUCUCGGGACGGGAGUAAUGAUUAAGAGGAACAGUUGGGGGCAUUCGUAUUUCAAUGUCAGAGGUGAAAUUCUUGGAUUUUUGAAAGACGAACUUCUGCGAAAGCAUUUGCCAAGGAUGUUUUCAUUAAUCAAGAACGAAAGUUGGGGGCUCGAAGAUGAUUAGAUACCAUCCUAGUCUCAACCAUAAACGAUGCCGACUAGGGAUUGGCGGAUGUUAAUUGAUGACUCCGCCAGCACCUUAUGAGAAAUCAAAGUUUUUGGGUUCCGGGGGGAGUAUGGUCGCAAGGCUGAAACUUAAAGGAAUCGACGGAAAGGCACCACCAGGCGUGGAGCCUGC